AGGAGGAACAGCCCCAGUGGUGGGGCCAGCUCUAGAGCCCUGGAGUCAGCCCCCGCAGUAACUCCGGAGGUCUCCGCCUGCAGGGCCUGGAGGCUCCGGGGCGGG
rnacentral:pre_miRNA from 1 species